rnacentral:rRNA from 1 species
UACGGGGCGCAGCAGUGGGGAAUUUUGUGCAAUGGGGGGAACCUUGACGCAGCGACGCCGCGUGGGUGAUGAAGGCCUUCGGGUUGUAAAGCCCUGUUGGGGGGAAGAUAAUGACGGUACCCCCUGAGGAAGCCCCGGCUAACUACGUGCCAGCAGCCGCGGUAAGACGUAGGGGGCGAGCGUUGUCCGGAAUUACUGGGCGUAAAGGGCGUGUAGGCGGCUUUUCAAGUCGGCUGUGAAAUUCCCCGGCUUAACCGGGGGGGUGCAGUCGAAACUGAUGGGCUUGAGUGCAGGAGAGGGUGGUGGAAUUCCCGGUGUAGCGGUGACAUGCGUAGAUAUCGGGAGGAACACCGGUGGCGAAGGCGACCUCCUGGCCUGUUACUGACGCUGAGGCGCGAAAGCUGGGGGAGCAAACAGGAUUAGAUACCCUGGUAGUCCCAGCUGUAAACUCUGGGUACUAGGUGUGGGGGGCUUCGAUGCCCUCUGUGCCGUAGUUAACGCAUUAAGAACCCCGCCUGGGGAGUACGAUCGCAAGGUUGAAACUCAGAGGAAUUGGCGGGGGAGCAC